UACGGAGGGUGCGAGCGUUGUCCGGAAUCAUUGGGCGUAAAGGGCGCGUAGGUGGCCCGGUCAGUUCGUGGUGAAAGCGCGGGGCUCAACCCUGCGUCGGCCAUGAAUACUGCCGCGGCUGGAGCACUGUAGAGGCAGGCGGAAUUCCGGGUGUAGCGGUGGAAUGCGUAGAGAUCCGGAAGAACACCGGUGGCGAAGGCGGCCUGCUGGGCAGUUCGCUGACACUGAGGCGCGACAGCGUGGGAGCAACAGG
rnacentral:rRNA from 1 species